GCCUGGCAUGGUGGUGCACGCCUGUAAUCCCAGCUACUCGGGAGGCUGAGGCAGGAGAAUCGCUUGUGCCCAGGAGUUGGAGGUUGCAGUGAGCUGAGAUUGUGCCACUGCACUCCAGCCUGGGCAACAGAGUGAGACUCUGUCUCAA
ensembl:misc_RNA Metazoa_SRP Metazoan signal recognition particle RNA